AGCCUUAAGGUGUAUUAGUUUACUAAUCGGGUCUUAGGGGGUAGAACUUGCUGAGACGUUGUCUCAGUGGUUAUUGAAUAACCAUUUCAGGACCCGGAUGAGGAGCUUAAGGAGGCGGAACCUGACGAGGAAAACCCUGAUGAGGAAACCGAAGAGGAGUACGUGGAGGAGGACCCCGAGGAUAACCCCGAGUAUGACCCGGAUGAGGACUGAGAUCCCGUCCUGUCUUGUCAGACCUUGUGUGCAUGUGAAUAGAUGUUA
rnacentral:lncRNA from 1 species